GGGGAGAUUCAGCCACGUGCGCAACGACCCGCCCAGGGGUGUAAGAUCCGGAUGGCCACGGCCGCCGGACGCGCCGCAAGGGGCGUUCCGGUGCGAGUCUCGGUCACCGGCCGCUCUUGUGGUUCUGAGGUCGCGGAAGGUGCCUUUCUUAUCCCAGGUUGGGCGUCGCGACCCGUUGGAGGAGCAAGCAAGGGCACAGCGGCCUAAGGCCCGGGACAGAGCCCGGGGAUGCUUYCAUCGAGGCGCGUAACAAAAAGCGCCCUCAGACCCCGGUUUAAAGCCCGGCCGCCCUCCGACGGUCUUCAGAUGAARGAGGAAACAGGCCGGCUACUUCUCUUCACGAGGAGCUAGAGCSUCCRACCCGUCGGGGCAAGYUCUCCGGGGUUAAAAUUCGGGUGUUUGCAUGUCCCCUAACGCCCCCGGAUCCCGGUUGGCUGUCU
rnacentral:rRNA from 1 species